rnacentral:lncRNA from 1 species
UUUUCGGUUCCUCUCUACCCUGAGAAGUUGUUAAGAAAUCACUAUAAUCAUUGGUGUGGCCGGAGUGACAAUCACUUUGGCAACGAGGCAGGAAGUAGAGAGAGAUGCUGUCCUCUGAGAUUUGGACUUCAACUAGUGGAGCCCCUGAAGGAGAAUGAGAAGGGUCACAUUUGUGUUUUGGGCAAGAUCUGUUCUGGAAGUCCUGUGAAGAAUGGAUUGGAAAAUAAUGAGAGUGGAAAGAAGAUGGGUGUGCCUCCCACCCCCACCGCUGCUGGAAAC